AAUCAACGCUGGCGGCGUGCCUCAGACAUGCAAGUCGAACGCGAAAGUCCCCUUCGGGGGACAAGUAGAGUGGCGCACGGGUGAGUAACACGUAGGUAAUCUACCUUCGGAUGGGGAAUAACAACCGGAAACGGUUGCUAAUACCGCAUAAUGCAGCGGCACCUAAUGGUGACAGUUGUUAAAGCGGGGGAUUGAAAGACCUCGCGUCUGAAGAGGAGCCUGCGGCGGAUUAGCUUGNGGUAGGGUAACGGCCUACCAAGGCGACGAUCCGUAGCCGGCCUGAGAGGGCGGUCGGCCACACUGACACUGACAUACGGGUCAGACUCCUACGGGAGGCAGCAGUCGGGAAUUUUGGGCAAUGGGCGAAAGCCUGACCCAGCAACGCCGCGUGAAGGAUGAAAUCCCUC
rnacentral:rRNA from 1 species